ACAAGUGUGUAAAACUGUUUAUAUUUCACCUCAAAUCCAUCCUCAUUACCUGUGUAUAUUUGUAUUUCUUAGUUUUUGAAUUGUAUUUUAUUUUGGCGGAGAAGCUUUUAUUUUCUUGUUUCCUGUCUCCUUGUCAUAUCCUGUGUGUUCGCGCUGCCCUCCUCAGUUCGCGCCAAGCUGCGCUGGGGAGAGGUAAGCGUACAAAGUUGUCUUCUGUUUGUCUGUUGAAGUAUUCAAAAUGUCCUUAAAAGUAUUUUUGCCAAACUCGCAAGUUUUUAUAUGUUGUUCCCCAACUGUUUUAUGUUUAGCGCAGCACUGUACUGGGCACUUAAUUCCCACGUUAAGGACAUUUAUUGAGUUUACCGUGCCAAUGUGGUUAUUUUUGUUCUUUUGAUUUGUUAAGGUGUGUGUGGGAAAGCCAGAGCCCAAGAACUGGAGUGCUGAUGCAUUUUUUGUUUUAAACAGGUGUGUGUGGGAAAGCCAGAGCCCAAGAACUGGAGUGCUGAUGCAUUUUUUGUUUUAAACAGAAUAAAUCUGCCCUACUGCUGCAAUA